GGGCAGGUCGGCCAGCGACGACAGGCCGAGCCGUUCCAGGAACAGUUCGGUGGUGGCGAACGUCGUCGCCCCGGUGUCCGGGUCGGUGCCCGCCUC
rnacentral:tRNA from 2 species